rnacentral:rRNA from 1 species
UACGAAGGGUGCAAGCGUUAAUCGGAAUUACUGGGCGUAAAGGGUGCGUAGGCGGUUCGUUAAGUCUGUCGUGAAAUCCCCGGGCUCAACCUGGGAAUGGCGAUGGAUACUGGCGAGCUAGAGUGUGUCAGAGGAUGGUGGAAUUCCCGGUGUAGCGGUGAAAUGCGUAGAGAUCGGGAGGAACACCGGUGGCGAAGGCGGCCCGCUGGGCUGUUGCUGACGCUGAGGCGCGACAGCGUGGGGAGCAAACAGG